AACGAACGCUGGCGGCGUGCUUAACACAUGCAAGUCGAACGAUGAUGUAGUGCUUGCACUACGGAUUAGUGGCGAACGGGUGAGUAACACGUGAGUAACCUGCCUUUCACUCUGGGAUAAGCCUGGGAAACUGGGGUCUAAUACUGGAUAUGACAUUGCCUCGCAUGGGGUGGUGUGGAAAGUUUUUCGGUGGAAGAUGGACUCGCGGCCUAUCAGCUUGUUGGUGAGGUAGUGGCUCACCAAGGCGACGACGGGUAGCCGGCCUGAGAGGGUGAUCGGCCACACUGGGACUGAGACACGGCCCAGACUCCUACGGGGUGGCAG
rnacentral:rRNA from 1 species